UGUGGCAGAAUAGUGCAAUAAACUUAAGAUUUAUAUAUAAAGUACCAUCUUUCCUUAGUA
rnacentral:tRNA from 1 species